UGAACAACACAUUGCCAUGUGUUUAUAAGUCUUUAUAAAGCAGAUACCAAGAAAAAUCUUUAAGGAAGAGUAUAGAGGAGCUCUACCCUUUAGCUUAUCAAAUUCUCUAAGCUGUAAUCCUUCCUCCAUAAUGUGGGAAUAAUAAUACUUCAGAGGCUCAUUGUGAAAAUUAAAUGAGACACCAUCUGGUGAAGGUCUGACACAAUGCUCAACACAUUGCAGUUGUUCAAUAAACCAUUUUUUAUAAGAAAAAUAAAGGGCUUAGGGCUUUGUUUUGCCACUGUAAAAUAUAAGACCUGCUGUGCCAUCUUUGAGGAUAUUGGCCCUUCGCAACUAUACAGCAUUUAGGUUUAAUUAUGGCAUCACAUUAAAAAAAAGUUUUAUCAUUAUUUGAAUGUUAUCUGAAUCAUCAUCUGAUCACUUUUUAAAUGUUAUCUUAGUUUUGCUCUUAUUUUAAUAGAUUAUAGGUUCCAUGUGUUAAUGUUUGGACACGAUGUUCUGUGCUCCAGUCACCCUGGUUAGAAUUCAGAAUUAUUAUCCUAAUUUAGGGAAAUAAGAGACCUUAUCAGUCUUGAGACCGAAGCAAAUUUCUUAAGGUCACUAGAUUUGUUUCCUUAGCCAUAAACUAGGGGUAAGAAUACAUUGUUCACAGAGUUGUUAUGUUAUAUAAGAAUCCCACAAAUGCAAAUGUUUUUCUCUUCUAUUUCAAUAGUCCCCUGCAGGAAGCUGCUGAUGAAAGACCAGUCCCUAACUGGAGAUUCCCUGUAUGGUCAGAUGGAUGGGCUAUUGGAAGGCCCUGUCAAGCUUUAUGUGCGGAGUCCCCUCCUUGUCUCUCAGGAAACUUCCUGAAUAUGCGAAGAGACUGGUCAUCUUUACACGGUUGCAAUGUGAUCACCCAGCAAUGACCAGUCAUAAUUACACAUCCCACCAGUACAUAGGAGGAAACUGUCCUUGAAGCUCAAUGCUAACUUUGCUGACCAAGAAUCUAAAAAGGUGACUUUCAUGACCAGUGCAACUAAAUGUGCAUGGUGUCAUUUUGACCUGACCAGCUUACCUCAUCUAAUGACCACAGUCCUCACUGGUCCUCUGCUAUGACUUCUCCAACAAAAUAAAUCAUAUUUAAUUUCACACUUCUCUGAA